rnacentral:snRNA from 1 species
GUGCUCUCUGUGGCAGCACUUAUACUAUAAUUGAAAUGAACAGAGAAGUUUAACAUGACACCAAUAAAAAGAUGACACACAAAAUCUUACAUGUUCCAUAUUUUA